AUAAAAAGCGUAACACAGCAAGGUUGGCAUUCAUACGUGCAGCGAGUCAUGGUGGUUAGAGAUGAUCGUCCCUGAUGUUGACCAGAUCAGUUACUAUUUUGUUUAGCUGAAUAUCAAGAUUUAGUAAGCUAAGCCGGUGAGGAUCGUUAAAACCCAGUUGAGGGCAGCUUUUAUGCUGCUAAACGUUGGGUGGUACCACGCUAUUGCGUCCCUAUG
rnacentral:ncRNA from 1 species